ensembl:rRNA n-R5s213 nuclear encoded rRNA 5S 213
CCAUCCUGAACGCGCCCGAUCUCAUCUGAUCUCUGAAGCUAAGUAGGGUCGGGCCUGGUUAGAACUUGGAUGGGAGUACCCGAUGC